rnacentral:rRNA from 1 species
GGCCCAGACUCCUACGGGAGGCAGCAGUGAGGAAUAUUGGUCAAUGGGCGGAAGCCUGAACCAGCCAAGUCGCGUGAGGGAAUAAGGCCCUACGGGUCGUAAACCUCUUUUGCCGGGGAGCAAGGGCGGGGACGUGUCCCGGCCCGGAGAGUACCCGGAGAAAAAGCAUCGGCUAACUCCGUGCCAGCAGCCGCGGUAAUACGGAGGAUGCGAGCGUUAUCCGGAUUUAUUGGGUUUAAAGGGUGCGUAGGCGGGCUUUUAAGUCAGCGGUAAAAAUGCGGGGCUCAACCCCGUCCGGCCGUUGAAACUGGGGGCCUUGAGUGGGCGAGAAGAAGGCGGAAUGCGUGGUGUAGCGGUGAAAUGCAUAGAUAUCACGCAGAACUCCGAUUGCGAAGGCAGCGUACCGGCGCCCAACUGACGCUCAUGCACGAAAGCGUGGGUAUCGAACAGGAUUAGAUACCCGUUGUC